CUACGGGGCGCAGCAGUGAGGAAUAUUGCACAAUGGGGGGAACCCUGAUGCAGCAACGCCGCGUGGAGGAUGACGCAUUUCGGUGUGUAAACUCCUUUUAUAUGUCAAGAAAAUGACGGUAGCAUAUGAAUAAGCACCGGCUAACUCCGUGCCAGCAGCCGCGGUAAUACGGAGGGUGCAAGCGUUACUCGGAAUCACUGGGCGUAAAGGACGCGUAGGCGGGUUGGAAAGUCAGGUGUGAAAUCCUACAGCUUAACUGUAGAACUGCAUUUGAAACUUCUCAUCUAGAGUAUGGGAGGGGGAGAUGGAAUUAGUGGUGUAGGGGUAAGAUCCGUAGAUAUCACUAGGAAUACCUAAAGCGAAGGCGAUCUCCUGGAACAUUACUGACGCUAAGGCGUGAAAGCGUGGGGAGCAAACAGGAUUAGAUACCCGGGUAGUC
rnacentral:rRNA from 1 species